CAACAAUUCGCAAUUUAGUUAAAAAUCCUCUAGAUUAACAGGAUGGAAGUUGCCCUAAGCAAGAAUAUUGUUGGAUGGUCCUCCAGUGUAGCAAGUAUUAGGUCCAUCAUUAGAUACCAUCCAGUGGAAAAGAAUAGCUCCGUCCCUGCUCACUCUACUCUAUUCUACUUCUGGAUCCUCUACAGGAGAUUUGGGUGAUUGGAGUUGACAUUAUGGGGCAGUAUCUUCACCCUCUUCUGUUGUACCACCAGAGACAAAGCUCCUUGUGAGAUCACUGAGUAAAGAUGGGGUAGCAGUAUGUUCCGAGCUUCCAUAGAAUGUCGAGCUUGGUACCCAGUAUCCCCUCUAAUCUCCAUAGUUACAUCCAUGAGUACUCACAUAGCUUUCACAAGAAACAUUACUUUUCCUUCGAG